UCCUGGCUCAGGACGAACGCUGGCGGCGUGCCUAAUACAUGCAAGUCGAGCGGAGUUUUGAAAAGCUUGCUUUUCAAAACUUAGCGGCGGACGGGUGAGUAACACGUGGGCAACCUGCCCUUGAGACGGGGAUAACUCCGGGAAACCGGAGCUAAUACCGGAUAACACAUAUCUUCGCAUGAGGAUAUGUUAGAAGGUGGCUUUUAGCUACCACUCAAGGAUGGGCCCGCGGCGCAUUAGCUAGUUGGUGAGGUAACGGCUCACCAAGGCGACGAUGCGUAGCCGACCUGAGAGGGUGAUCGGCCACACUGGGACUGAGACACGGCCCAGACUCCUACGGGAGGCAGCAGUAGGGAAUCUUCCGCAAUGGACGAAAGUCUGACGGAGCAACGCCGCGUGAGUGAUGAAGGUUUUCGGAUCGUAAAGCUCUGUUGUUAGGGAAGAGCAAGUACCUGUUAAAUAAGCAG
rnacentral:rRNA from 2 species